GGGCCUGUAGCUCAGCUGGUUAGAGCGCACGCCUGAUAAGCGUGAGGUCGGUGGUUCGAGUCACUCAGGCCACCA
rnacentral:tRNA from 1 species